rnacentral:lncRNA from 1 species
CAGCGAGCCUUCGCUGAGCCUUCGCUAGGCGAAGCAGAGGCGAACGGGACAGUGGCUGCUUUGUCUCUUUGUUGUCCAUUUUAUGUUUAUCUAAUCAUGAUUCUGCAUUAUUUGGCUUAAAUUCCUGACUGUUAUAUUUAUUUUAUGGUGCAAUUUCCAAUUGUAUUUUACCUCAAUGCUCUAAUCCGUGUGUUGCAUGGUGUAAAGGCUAGCAUACUUCCAAAGAAAUAGCCGGCUAGGCAU